rnacentral:tRNA from 1 species
AGUCUGCAAUUACAAACGAACGACGCGGUUUUUAAAAACAAAAGCGGAGGUGCGGGAAAUCCUACAAGGUCACAGGGGCGCAGUUUCGAUCGUGUUGAAUGGCUUAGACAACGGCUUUUCAGAAGGAAGGGAUUAGAAACUGUUCGAUCUGAAGCGGUAUUCAGAGUGUUAAAGAAUUCUUAGAUGCCGCGAUCGUUAGAAAAGCCCGAUUUUCAAAGGGAAAGAAAAAACAGUGGAUUUUAUUUUUAGCAUGGAACCCCCAAAAACACAGGAACCCCUUGCCGUGCCAUUGUUGCCACAAUGCCGUGACUCGGAUUCGAACCGAGGUUGCUGCGGCCACAACGCAGAGUACUAACCACUAUACGAUCACGGCGAGCUACCAGGGACCUGUAAUAUUCCUCUUCUGAAUAUUCUCUUCAAUACUCAUAGGCCUUCCUACUUCCUGCGUCACUAAAUGACCCAUCUGUUGGGCGGGACUCCAACCUAGCAUAGCGUGUGAUGCGCAGGCGCAUUGCACUCUCGCAGCUAACUAGGCUUCACUUUGGUUCCUUAGUCUGGGGCAAAGUAGUCGCUUGCGAGAGGUGUUAGGGGUUGGCCGGAGACCUCCUGAGUACACGGGGACCCGAGGUGACUGUCUUGGGGAAGCCGGUUUCCGGUGCCUGGACCCUUGAAGUGGACUCUGUAGAGUUCUCGGGCCUGCAGGGGCGUUCCCCAUUGCGUCUCCUGGCUGCAGAUCCUCCGCCAUCCCUAGCAGCGACCCAUAGGGACCUUUGCGUAGAGUGCGGAUGCCCUCUGUACUGAGUUAGCUGUAUGGAGAGAACUCGAAUGCCUGUCAGCUUCGGCUUUCCGCCCCCACAACCUCUCUCUCUAGCAGCCUCUCCCUCUCUUGGAUGGCUAAAUCCUCCCUCCAAGAUACUCCCGCUCGGCUUUGCGCCCACUUCUGACCCCACUGGGUGGCUAUUGAGACUCGGUCCGGUUUCCUUCUUGUCCCUCAGCGCUCCCGCCCACAUGGCGUCUAGCCUGUGACAGCUUCCAUAGAGGGGCAGUGAUAUUUCCUAAACCAAGAGUGUGCCAGUGGUUUCCGACAAGUGAAUUCAAAGUGGCCAGUACCCUCUUCCGCAGAACCACCGGAGAAAUCGCUAAACACCAACUAAAAUUUUCCCCCAUUUCACAGCCCAGACUGCAGGGCAUCCUCCUUCUUUUCCUGCUCACGUGGCUUAGAGUGUCGUUUCCUGCCCCCAACGACGGGCGCCCAUUCACUCAACAGGUUCUAGAGGAACGCUAGUUGUCAGCCAAGUCAGGCCCUAGAGCUGUGGGAGCGGGCAGGUCUUAAAAAUGACCCUGGGAGAACACUUAGAAGAGGAAUCGCGACAGUGCCUUUUCAUGACUGUGUUCAGCCUUUUGUACAUUAAAUUGCUGUUUGACAGAUUCCCAUUCUACUCAUAAAAGCUCCCUCUGCGGAGCCUCUUCGUUCCAUCACUUCGGCGUCUACUCCAGUGCUUUGAUGGAAAUCUGUGACGUCAAAGAUAUAUAGGAGACUAAGAAAAACACCAUAUUUUUAUGGAAACAGUCACAUAUGUUCGCUGCACUUUUCUGGCUGAUGCAAUUCCCUGUAUUGGGAUGCGAAUACCAUCCCCAUAACAAACUGGAAGCCUCUGAGCUCCCGCAGUCUAAUUUGGCCUACGCUGGUAUAAACCCUGUUCACAAUUGUCACUUGUUUGAGGUCCAUUUUUCUGGAAUGUUAGCUGUGUAUUAAAAUGGAAUAGAGGAACAAAACAGGUCCCUUGCCGUGCCAUUGUUGCCACAAUGCCGUGACUCGGAUUCGAACCGAGGUUGCUGCGGCCACAACGCAGAGUACUAACCACUAUACGAUCACGGCGAGCUACCGGGAACCUAAGGUCAGGACUUCUUACUUGAUCUCUUCUGUAUUGGAUGCCCCUCCCCUUUGACGUCACUGGGUUGAUGGCAUUUGUUUCCGCCUAUCAUCAACGGCGGGACUUACGAGUGUGCGCAGGCGCUUUGUUUUCCCUGGCUAGACCCGCGCGCAGGCGGAAAGCCCUACGCUCCGCAGCAGUGACAACAGCGGUAGACUGGGUCUCUUUUUUCCCCCUUUCAUUUCUCUUCUUUCUUUCUUUCUUCUUUCUUUUUUUUUCUUUUUGAGUCGGGGUCUCAUUCGGGCAGGCUGGCCUCUAACGUCCUGCGUUUUAGGUUCCCAGGCGCCACUACGUUGGGCUUGCCAGGCAGUUUCAUGACCGUCUUUUUUGAGGUGCGUUCCCAAGCCAAGCGGAAACUCGAGAAGAUUGGCCCAUUGUUAAGAUCUUUCUGCCCUCAGAAGAAAGAGGGCUCAAGGAGUUCCUGUGGGACUUGAUUCCUGUCCCAAGACCUGAGACUUUUUCCUGAGUCCGGAAGAUAGCAGGGAGUGGUUUCCAGACAUUAUUCUAGAAGGGAACAAUUGGAAGAAACUUUCUGUCACAGCGUAAGAAAAAGGCCUAUUGACAGGUAGCUGUGUGUCGGAUCUCCUACCCUGCCCUGCUGUGGAAUCAAUCAGAUGAGUGAAGACCCUGCUGGGAGUUGUGAAUUAAUUUCUUUGGAUGCUCAAGCCCUAAAUCAAGUCAUGAAAGGAACAGUCAUGUUGUCAAAUGUCAGGCUGCCUCAGGCUUGUGACCCUGCUGCCAUCACCUUUAAAGUGUUGGGAUGACAGAUCAGAAAGUUACCAGACAGACAGCUACAUCCAUAAAGGAGCAUGACAUCAGACGGGUAUGGCAGCAGGAGCAGGGAACCAGAGCUGACAUCUCAGUCACACAUAGGGAGCAGAGAGAAACAGGAAGGUGGGUGAGCCUGUAAGCCCUGAAACACCACGCCUUGAGAUGUCCUUCCUUCAGUAAGGUUGUACCUAAACAUUCUAUAGUCUCCUCAAAUAGUGCUACCAACUGUUGACCACUGUUCAAAUGCACAAGCCUAUGAGGAACAUUUCGCAUUCAAACCGCCAUGUUUUUCAUCAUCU